AAAGCUCUCGAGACAAAGUUCUGUGAUGCACUGACUUCCACAUAGCCACAGUCGGAGUGUAUAACAGAACUUCACCUCAAGUGCUGC
rnacentral:pre_miRNA from 1 species